rnacentral:rRNA from 1 species
GUGGGGAAUCUUCCGCAAUGGACGAAAGUCUGACGGAGCAACGCCGCGUGAGUGAAGAAGGUUUUCGGAUCGUAAAGCUCUUUCGUUAGGGACGAACGUGCUCUUUGUGAAUAAUGAAGAGUAAUGACGGUACCUAAAUAAGAAGCCACGGCUAACUACGUGCCAGCAGCCGCGGUAAUACGUAGGUGGCAAGCGUUGUCCGGAAUUAUUGGGCGUAAAGCGCGCGCAGGCGGGAUAUCAAGUCUGUCUUAAAAGUGCGAGGCUCAACCUCGUGAGGGGACGGGAACUGGUAUUCUUGAGUGUCGGAGAGGAAAGUGGAAUUCCAAGUGUAGCGGUGAAAUGCGUAGAGAUUUGGAAGAACACCAGUGGCGAAGGCGACUUUCUGGACGAUGUCUGACGCUGAGGCGCGAAAGCUAGGGGAGCGAACGGGAUUAGAUACCCCUGUAGUCC